CCUACGGGUGGCAGCAGUGGGGAAUAUUGGGCAAUGGGCGCAAGCCUGACCCAGCAACGCCGCGUGAAGGAAGAAGGCUUUCGGGUUGUAAACUUCUUUUCUGAGGGACGAAAAAAGUGACAGUACCUCAGGAAUAAGCCACGGCUAACUACGUGCCAGCAGCCGCGGUAAUACGUAGGUGGCAAGCGUUAGACGGAUUUAUUGGGUGUAAAGGGAGUGUAGGCGGGAAAGCAAGUCGGAUGUGAAAACUCAGGGCUCAACCCUGAGCCUGCAUUUGAAACUGUUUUUCGUGAGUGCCGGAGAGGCAAUCGGAAUUCCGUGUGUAGCGGUGAAAUGCGUAGAUAUACGGAGGAACACCAGUGGCGAAGGCGGAUUGCUGGACAGUAACUGACGCUGAGGCGCGAAAGCGUGGGGAGCAAACAGGAUUAGAUACCCCGGUAGUC
rnacentral:rRNA from 1 species